AGUCUACUACGAUGGUAUGUAAGGGAUGCCAACUGAUGGAAGGUCUUGCCACACUCAUGACACUUAUAAGGUGUCUCUCCAGUAUGAAGUCUACGAUGGCAUGUAAGGGAUGACGUAUGACUGAAGGUCUUGCCACACUCAUUACACUUGUAAGGUGUCUCUCCAGUAUGAAGUCUACGAUGGCAUGUAAGGGAUGACUUCUGAUUGAAGGUCUUGCCACACUCAUGACACUUGUAAGGUUUCUCUCCAGUAUGAAGUCUAUGAUGG